rnacentral:misc_RNA from 1 species
GAUGAAGAACGCAGCAAAAUGCGAUACUUGGUGUGAAUUGCAGAAUCCCGUGAACCAUCGAGUUUUUGAACGCAAGUUGCGCCCGAAGCCUUUUGGCCGAGGGCACGUCUACCUGGGCGUCACGCAUCGCGUCGCCCCCCACAAUUCUCCGUAAAGGGAACAUGUGUUUUGGGGGCGGAUAUUGGUCUCCCGUGCUCAUGGCGUGGUUGGCCGAAAUAGGAGUCCUUUCGAUGGACGCACGAACUAGUGGUGGUCGUAAAAUCCCUCGUCUUUUGUUUCGUGCUGUUGCUCGCAAGGUAAACUCUUUAAAAACCCCAAUGUGUCGUCUCUUGACGACGCUUCGACCGCGACCCCAGGUCAGGCGGGACUACCCGCUGAGUUUAAGCAUAUCAAUAAGCGGAGGA